rnacentral:rRNA from 1 species
UAUAAAUGUAAAAUUUUAAACUUAAUGAUUAAUAGAUAUAUUCUUUAAAGUUAAAGAAUUUGGCGGUAUUUUAGUCUAUUUAGAGGAACCUGUUCUAUAAUCGAUAGUCCACGAUUUAUUAUACUUAUUUUAAAAGUUUAUAUAUCGUCGUAGUUUGAAUAUUUUUAAAGAAUUAGAAUAUUCAAGAUUCUUAAUAAGGAAGAAAAUCAGAUCAAGGUGUAGCUUAUAAAUAAGUAGUAAUGGGUUACAAUAAAUUUAUUUAAAUGGUAUAGAUAAUGAAAAAUUUCUAUUAAAGUGGAUUUAAAAGUAAUAAAAUUAAAUUUAAUUUUAUGAUUUUAGCUCUAAGAUAUGC